rnacentral:rRNA from 1 species
UGCCAGCAGCCGCGGUAAUACGAAGGGGGCUAGCGUUGUUCGGAAUUACUGGGCGUAAAGCGCACGUAGGCGGAUUGGAAAGUUGGGGGUGAAAUCCCGGGGCUCAACCCCGGAACUGCCUCCAAAACUAUCAGUCUAGAGUUCGAGAGAGGUGAGUGGAACUCCGAGUGUAGAGGUGAAAUUCGUAGAUAUUGGGAAGAACACCAGUGGCGAAGGCGGCCACCUGGCUCGAUACUGACGCUGAGGUGCGAAAGCGUGGGGAGCAAACAGGAUUAGAUA